rnacentral:rRNA from 1 species
CGGUUGAUCCUGCCGGAGGCCACUGCUAUGGGAGUCCGACUAAGCCAUGCGAGUCUUGGGGGGCUUUGCCCACCGGCGGACGGCUCAGUAACACGUGGACAACCUACCCUCGGGAGGGGGAUAACCCCGGGAAACUGGGGCUAAACCCCCAUAGGGCAUAGGUGCUGGAAGGCCCUAUGCCCGAAAUUCCGAAAGGAGCCCGAGGAUGGGUCUGCGGCCUAUCAGGUUGUAGUGGGGGUAACGGCCCCACUAGCCUACGACGGGUACGGGCCCUGGGAGGGGGAGCCCGGAGAUGGACUCUGAGACAAGAGUCCAGGCCCUACGGGGCGCAGCAGGCGCGAAACCUCCGCAAUGCGGGAAACCGCGACGGGGGGACUCCCAGUGCCUACGCUAUGCGUAGGCUGUUCCCGAGCCUAAAAAGCUCGGGGAGUAAGGGCUGGGCAAGACGGGUGCCAGCCGCCGCGGUAAUACCCGCAGCCCGAGUGGUGGCCACUUUUAUUGGGCCUAAAGCGUCCGUAGCCGGUCCGGUAAAUGCCUGGGUAAAUCGUCUGGCCUAACCAGACGAAUUCCGGGCAGACUGCCGGGCUAGGGACCGGAGGAGGGAGAGGGUACUCCAGGGGUAGGGGUGAAAU